rnacentral:rRNA from 1 species
GGUUAACCGUAUAGGGGAGCCGAAGGGAAACCGAGUCUUAACUGGGCGUUAAGUUGCAGGGUAUAGACCCGAAACCCGGUGAUCUAGCCAUGGGCAGGUUGAAGGUUGGGUAACACUAACUGGAGGACCGAACCGACUAAUGUUGAAAAAUUAGCGGAUGACUUGUGGCUGGGGGUGAAAGGCCAAUCAAACCGGGAGAUAGCUGGUUCUCCCCGAAAGCUAUUUAGGUAGCGCCUCGUGAACUCAUCUUCGGGGGUAGAGCACUGUUUCGGCUAGGGGGUCAUCCCGACUUACCAACCCGAUGCAAACUGCGAAUACCGAAGAAUGUUAUCACGGGAGACACACGGCGGGUGCUAACGUCCGUCGUGAAGAGGGAAACAACCCAGACCGCCAGCUAAGGUCCCAAAGUCAUGGUUAAGUGGGAAACGAUGUGGGAAGGCACAGACAGCCAGGAUGUUGGCUUAGAAGCAGCCAUCAUUUAAAGAAAGCGUAAUAGCUCACUGGUCGAGUCGGCCUGCGCGGAAGAUGUAACGGGGCUAAACCAUGCACCGAAGCUGCGGCAGCGACACUAUGUGUUGUUGGGUAGGGGAGCGUUCUGUAAGCCGUUGAAGGUGUAUCGUGAGGUAUGCUGGAGGUAUCAGAAGUGCGAAUGCUGACAUAAGUAACGAUAAUGCGGGUGAAAAACCCGCACGCCGGAAGACCAAGGGUUCCUGUCCAACGUUAAUCGGGGCAGGGUGAGUCGACCCCUAAGGCGAGGCCGAAAGGCGUAGUCGAUGGGAAACAGGUUAAUAUUCCUGUACUUGGUGUUACUGCGAAGGGGGGACGGAGAAGGCUAUGUUAGCCGGGCGACGGUUGUCCCGGUUUAAGCAUGUAGGCGGAGGUUCCAGGUAAAUCCGGUACCUUUUAACGCUGAGGUGUGAUGACGAGGCACUACGGUGCUGAAGUAACAAAUGCCCUGCUUCCAGGAAAAGCCUCUAAGCAUCAGGUAACACGAAAUCGUACCCCAAACCGACACAGGUGGUCAGGUAGAGAAUACCAAGGCGCUUGAGAGAACUCGGGUGAAGGAACUAGGCAAAAUGGUGCCGUAACUUCGGGAGAAGGCACGCUGAUAUGUAGGUGAAGCGGUUUACCCGUGGAGCUGAAAUCAGUCGAAGAUACCAGCUGGCUGCAACUGUUUAUUAAAAACACAGCACUGUGCAAACACGAAAGUGGACGUAUACGGUGUGACGCCUGCCCGGUGCCGGAAGGUUAAUUGAUGGGGUUAUCCGUAAGGAGAAGCUCUUGAUCGAAGCCCCGGUAAACGGCGGCCGUAACUAUAACGGUCCUAAGGUAGCGAAAUUCCUUGUCGGGUAAGUUCCGACCUGCACGAAUGGCGUAAUGAUGGCCAGGCUGUCUCCACCCGAGACUCAGUGAAAUUGAACUCGCUGUGAAGAUGCAGUGUACCCGCGGCAAGACGGAAAGACCCCGUGAACCUUUACUAUAGCUUGACACUGAACACUGGUCCUUGAUGUGUAGGAUAGGUGGGAGGCUUUGAAGUGUGGACGCCAGUCUGCAUGGAGCCAUCCUUGAAAUACCACCCUUUAAUGGCUGGUGUUCUAACGUGGACCCGUAAUCCGGGUUGCGGACAGUGUCUGGUGGGUAGUUUGACUGGGGCGGUCUCCUCCUAAAGAGUAACGGAGGAGCACGAAGGUUAGCUAAUCCUGGUCGGACAUCAGGAGGUUAGUGCAAAGGCAUAAGCUAGCUUGACUGCGAGAGUGACGGCUCGAGCAGGUGCGAAAGCAGGUCUUAGUGAUCCGGUGGUUCUGAAUGGAAGGGCCAUCGCUCAACGGAUAAAAGGUACUCCGGGGAUAACAGGCUGAUACCGCCCAAGAGUUCAUAUCGACGGCGGUGUUUGGCACCUCGAUGUCGGCUCAUCACAUCCUGGGGCUGAAGUAGGUCCCAAGGGUAUGGCUGUUCGCCAUUUAAAGUGGUACGCGAGCUGGGUUUAGAACGUCGUGAGACAGUUCGGUCCCUAUCUGCCGUGGGCGCUGGAGAAUUGAGGGGGGCUGCUCCUAGUACGAGAGGACCGGAGUGGACGCAUCACUGGUGUUCGGGUUGUCAUGCCAAUGGCAUUGCCCGGUAGCUAAAUGCGGAAGAGAUAAGUGCUGAAAGCAUCUAAGCACGAAACUUGCCCCGAGAUGAGUUCUCCCUGACUCCUUGAGAGUCCUGAAGGAACGUUAAAGACGAUGACGUUGAUAGGUCGGGUGUGUAAGUGUAGCGAUACAUUGAGCUAACCGAUACUAAUGAACCGUGAGGCUUAACCUU